rnacentral:rRNA from 1 species
GACGAACGCUGGCGGCGUGCUUAACACAUGCAAGUCGAACGGAAAGGCCCUGCUUUUGUGGGGUGCUCGAUUGGCGCACGGGUGAGUAACACGUGAGUAACCUGCCCUUGACUUUGGGAUAACUUCAGGAAACUGGGGCUAAUACCGGAUAGGAGCUCCUGCUGCAUGGUGGUGGUUGGAAAGUUUCGGCGGUUGGGGAUGGACUCGCGGCUUAUCAGCUUGUUGGUGGGGUAGUGGCUUACCAAGGCUUUGACGGGUAGCCGGCCUGAGAGGGUGACCGGCGACAUGGGGACUGAGAUACGGCGCAGAAUCCUACGGGAGGCAGCAGUGGGGAAUAUUGCACAAUGGGCGGAAGCCUGAUGCAGCAACGUCGCGUGCGGGAUGACGGCUUUCUGGUUGUAAACCGCUUUCGCCUGUGACGAAGAGUGAGUGACGGUAAUGGGUAAAGAAGCACCGGCUAACUACGUG